AUUGAACGCUGGCGGCAUGCUUUACACAUGCAAGUCGAACGGUAACAGGCCUUCGGGUGCUGACGAGUGGCGAACGGGUGAGUAAUGCAUCGGAACAUACCCAGUCGUGGGGGAUAACGUAGCGAAAGUUACGCUAAUACCGCAUACGUCCUGAGGGAGAAAGCGGGGGAUCGCAAGACCUCGCGCGAUUGGAGUGGCCGAUGUCAGAUUAGCUAGUUGGUGGGGUAAAGGCCCACCAAGGCGACGAUCUGUAGCGGGUCUGAGAGGAUGAUCCGCCACACUGGGACUGAGACACGGCCCAGACUCCUACGGGAGGCAGCAGUGGGGAAUUUUGGACAAUGGGCGAAAGCCUGAUCCAGCCAUGCCGCGUGUCUGAAGAAGGCCUCGGUUGUAAAGGAC
rnacentral:rRNA from 1 species